GAUGGACGCUGGCGGCGUGCUUAACACAUGCAAGUCGAACGGUGAACGAGGGAGCUUGCUCCCUCCGGAACCGUGGCGAACGGGUGAGUAACACGUGCGCAAUCUGCCCUGGACUCUGGGAUAAGCGUUAGACACGACGUCUAAUACCGGAUACGUGCCGCGAAGGCACCUUCAGCGUGUGGAAAGAACUUCGGUCCAGGUUGAGGUCGCGGCCUAUCAGGUCGUUGGUGAGGUAACGGCACACCAAGCCUACGACGUGUAGCCGGCCUGAGAGGGUGACCCGCCACACUGGGACUGAGACACGGCCCAGACUCCUACGGGAGGCAGCAGUGGGGAAUAUUGCACGAUGGGCGCAAGCCGGAUGCAGCAACGCCGCGUGAGGGACGACGGCCUUCGGGUUGUAAACCUCUUUUAGCAGGGAAGAAGCGAAAGUGACGGUACCUGCAGAAAAAGCACCGGCUAACUACGUGCCAGCAGCCGCCGUAAUAC
rnacentral:rRNA from 1 species